UCCCUGGUGGCUAAACGGUAAAGCAUCUGCCUGCAACGCAGGAGACCCAGGUUCGAUUCCUGGGUUGGGAA
rnacentral:tRNA from 1 species